CCUUCUCUCACUACAUAAUCUUUUAUCACGCAAACCCUUAUUAUUGCUCUCGUUCUCUCUCUCUCUCUCUGUAUUCUAACCCCCAAAACAAAGAAAAGGGGGCAAAAAAAUCCCUGCUAUCCUCUAACGAGAAGCCAUGGAUUCAGAUCAAGGGAAGCUCUUUAUUGGGGGGAUUUCAUGGGAAACUUCAGAGGAUAAAUUGAAGGAUUAUUUCGGCAAAUAUGGAGAGGUUUCACAAACUGUUAUCAUGAGAGAUAAGAUCACAGGAAGGCCUAGGGGUUUCGGGUUCGUUGUUUUUACAGAUCCUUCGGUUCUCGAUAGGGUUCUUCAAGAUAAGCACACAAUCGAUGGGAGAACUGUGGAGGCCAAGAGGGCUCUAUCAAGAGAGGAACAACACAAUGCUGCCAGGUCCGGAAACCCUAACUCUGCUAGAAACUUCGGGGCUGGGUCUGGGGCUGCCGCUGGCAGCAAUGUGAGGACCAAGAAAAUAUUUGUUGGUGGGCUUCCUCCCACCCUAACUGAGGAGGGCUUCCGCCAAUACUUCGAGCAAUUUGGCAAUGUAACAGAUGUUGUAGUAAUGUAUGACCAAAACACCCAAAGGCCUCGUGGCUUUGGCUUCAUCUCCUUUGACUCUGAGGAUGCAGUGGACCGAGUCCUACAAAAAUCCAAUUUCCAUGACCUUAAUGGAAAGUAUGUUGAGGUCAAGAGAGCCCUACCUAAAGAUGCCAACCCUGGUGGCGGGGGUCGCAACAUGGGGGGUGCGGGGGCCUACCAAGCCAACCCGAAUACCUAUGAGUCAAGGAUGGAUGGGAAUCGAUAUGUUCAACCUCCGGCUGGUGGAGCCGGGUACCCACCCUACGGAUCUUCAGGCUAUGGAGCACCAAGUUAUGGAUAUGGAGCAGCGAACAAUGGGACCGUGGGUUAUGGUGGUUAUGGGUAUGGAAACCCCAAUGCGCCGAGUGGAGGUUAUGGUGGGCCGGGUGGUGGUUACGGGAAUGCUAGUGCACCUAGUGGUGGGGCCUACCCACCUGGUGCACCCAGGAGCCCAUGGAAUAACCAAGCUCCAUCUGGCUACGGCAUGCAAGGUGGCCCCACUGGUUAUGGUGCGGGUUCUUGGGGUGGUGGGGCCCCUGGUGUGGGUCCCACUGGUGCUGGGGGUGGUGUGGCAGGGCCCACAGGUCAGUCUCCUAGUGGACAUGCUAGCUAUGCAAAUCCAGGUUAUGGUGGGUAUGGUGGUUAUGGUGGGGGUGAUGGGGCGUAUGGUGGGGCAGCAGGCUAUGGUGCUGUUGGUGGUCGUGGGGGUGGUGUAUCGAGUGGGACUGGUGUUUCGGGUGGAAGUGCAGGUGGUGUAGCUAGUGGUGAGCAAGGUGGUGGAGGCUAUAUGGGAAGUGGAUAUGGUGAUUCGAAUGGGAAUGCGGGGUUUUGGAGGUCUGAUGCUUCUUCUCAAGGUGGUGCUCAAGGCUAUGGGGUCCCUCAAGCCAAUGGGCCUCCCAGUUCUCAGGUUGGGUAUGGUGGUUAUGGUGCUCAAACAAGGCAGGUUCAGCAACAGUGAGUGGAGGAGGCUCAGCUUCUUCAGUGUCUUGCUACUUUGCGUGGUUUUGAUUCACGGUCUCGAGAUGGGCCUCUUUGCGAUCGAAGCGGACUGGAGAUGCUGCUCCUAUUCUCUCUCUCUUUCUCUCACUCUUAACCAAGAAUCAGAUGUCUUCUCCCUGCCGGUUCAAAAGCAUGGAAAGAGAGAGCGGCAGGUACUCUGAUUCAGUCCACUGUUUGGGGGAGGUAAAAACUUGAUCCUGGGAUUACGAGCUGCGAAAAAGUUUUGUGACGAUGAAUUGCUUCACUGACAUGCGGGCUGAGGCUGCUAAUUUUUUAUUUUCAUUUCUGGGAGAGCCGGCUUGAUUUGGGGGUUGUCAUUUUGGUCGAGUACACUGCAAAAUUUUUGGGUGCAAAUUGGAGAGGCCUUUUGUGUUUGUUUUUUGUUUUUAUUUAUUCUUAUUUUAUGGGAGGUAUUUACUUUGGUUGGAUACCAAAUUUUGUUCUCGAGUUUGGACCCCUUUUUUUUUUUUAUGUUAUUGUUGAGUAAUGCUGAAUUUGGUUUCAAUUGA